rnacentral:rRNA from 1 species
UAAGCGACUAAGCGUACACGGUGGAUGCCCUGGCAGUCAGAGGCGAUGAAGGACGUGCUAAUCUGCGAUAAGCGUCGGUAAGGUGAUAUGAACCGUUAUAACCGGCGAUUUCCGAAUGGGGAAACCCAGUGUGUUUCGACACACUAUCAUUAACUGAAUCCAUAGGUUAAUGAGGCGAACCGGGGGAACUGAAACAUCUAAGUACCCCGAGGAAAAGAAAUCAACCGAGAUUCCCCCAGUAGCGGCGAGCGAACGGGGAGGAGCCCAGAGCCUGAAUCAGUGUGUGUGUUAGUGGAAGCGUCUGGAAAGGCGCGCGAUACAGGGUGACAGCCCCGUACACAAAAAUGCACAUACUGUGAGCUCGAUGAGUAGGGCGGGACACGUGGUAUCCUGUCUGAAUAUGGGGGGACCAUCCUCCAAGGCUAAAUACUCCUGACUGACCGAUAGUGAACCAGUACCGUGAGGGAAAGGCGAAAAGAACCCCGGCGAGGGGAGUGAAAAGAACCUGAAACCGUGUACGUACAAGCAGUGGGAGCACAGAGCAAUCUGUGUGACUGCGUACCUUUUGUAUAAUGGGUCAGCGACUUAUAUUCUGUAGCAAGGUUAACCGAAUAGGGGAGCCGAAGGGAACCGAGUCUUAACCGGGCGUUAAGUUGCAGGGUAUAGACCCGAAACCCGGUGAUCUAGCCAUGGGCAGGUUGAAGGUUGGGUAACACUAACUGGAGGACCGAACCGACUAAUGUUGAAAAAUUAGCGGAUGACUUGUGGCAGGGGGUGAAAGGCCAAUCAAACCGGGAGAUAGCUGGUUCUCCCCGAAAGCUAUUUAGGUAGCGCCUCGUGAAUUCAUCUCCGGGGGUAGAGCACUGUUUCGGCAAGGGGGUCAUCCCGACUUACCAACCCGAUGCAAACUGCGAAUACCGGAGAAUGUUAUCACGGGAGACACACGGCGGGUGCUAACGUCCGUCGUGAAGAGGGAAACAACCCAGACCGCCAGCUAAGGUCCCAAAGUCAUGGUUAAGUGGGAAACGAUGUGGGAAGGCCCAGACAGCCAGGAUGUUGGCUUAGAAGCAGCCAUCAUUUAAAGAAAGCGUAAUAGCUCACUGGUCGAGUCGGCCUGCGCGGAAGAUGUAACGGGGCUAAACCAUGCACCGAAGCUGCGGCAGCGACACUGUGUGUUGUUGGGUAGGGGAGCGUUCUGUAAGCCUGUGAAGGUGUGCUGUGAGGCAUGCUGGAGGUAUCAGAAGUGCGAAUGCUGACAUAAGUAACGAUAAAGCGGGUGAAAAGCCCGCUCGCCGGAAGACCAAGGGUUCCUGUCCAACGUUAAUCGGGGCAGGGUGAGUCGACCCCUAAGGCGAGGCCGAAAGGCGUAGUCGAUGGGAAACAGGUUAAUAUUCCUGUACUUGGUGUUACUGCGAAGGGGGGACGGAGAAGGCUAUGUUGGCCGGGCGACGGUUGUCCCGGUUUAAGCGUGUAGGCUGGUUUUCCAGGCAAAUCCGGAAAAUCAAGGCUGAGGCGUGAUGACGAGGCACUACGGUGCUGAAGCAACAAAUGCCCUGCUUCCAGGAAAAGCCUCUAAGCAUCAGGUAACAUCAAAUCGUACCCCAAACCGACACAGGUGGUCAGGUAGAGAAUACCAAGGCGCUUGAGAGAACUCGGGUGAAGGAACUAGGCAAAAUGGUGCCGUAACUUCGGGAGAAGGCACGCUGAUAUGUAGGUGAAGUCCCUCGCGGAUGGAGCUGAAAUCAGUCGAAGAUACCAGCUGGCUGCAACUGUUUAUUAAAAACACAGCACUGUGCAAACACGAAAGUGGACGUAUACGGUGUGACGCCUGCCCGGUGCCGGAAGGUUAAUUGAUGGGGUCAGCGCAAGCGAAGCUCUUGAUCGAAGCCCCGGUAAACGGCGGCCGUAACUAUAACGGUCCUAAGGUAGCGAAAUUCCUUGUCGGGUAAGUUCCGACCUGCACGAAUGGCGUAAUGAUGGCCAGGCUGUCUCCACCCGAGACUCAGUGAAAUUGAACUCGCUGUGAAGAUGCAGUGUACCCGCGGCAAGACGGAAAGACCCCGUGAACCUUUACUAUAGCUUGACACUGAACAUUGAGCCUUGAUGUGUAGGAUAGGUGGGAGGCUUUGAAGUGUGGACGCCAGUCUGCAUGGAGCCGACCUUGAAAUACCACCCUUUAAUGUUUGAUGUUCUAACGUGGACCCGUGAUCCGGGUUGCGGACAGUGUCUGGUGGGUAGUUUGACUGGGGCGGUCUCCUCCUAAAGAGUAACGGAGGAGCACGAAGGUUGGCUAAUCCUGGUCGGACAUCAGGAGGUUAGUGCAAUGGCAUAAGCCAGCUUGACUGCGAGCGUGACGGCGCGAGCAGGUGCGAAAGCAGGUCAUAGUGAUCCGGUGGUUCUGAAUGGAAGGGCCAUCGCUCAACGGAUAAAAGGUACUCCGGGGAUAACAGGCUGAUACCGCCCAAGAGUUCAUAUCGACGGCGGUGUUUGGCACCUCGAUGUCGGCUCAUCACAUCCUGGGGCUGAAGUAGGUCCCAAGGGUAUGGCUGUUCGCCAUUUAAAGUGGUACGCGAGCUGGGUUUAGAACGUCGUGAGACAGUUCGGUCCCUAUCUGCCGUGGGCGCUGGAGAACUGAGGGGGGCUGCUCCUAGUACGAGAGGACCGGAGUGGACGCAUCACUGGUGUUCGGGUUGUCAUGCCAAUGGCACUGCCCGGUAGCUAAAUGCGGAAGAGAUAAGUGCUGAAAGCAUCUAAGCACGAAACUUGCCCCGAGAUGAGUUCUCCCUGACCCUUUAAGGGUCCUGAAGGAACGUUGAAGACGACGACGUUGAUAGGCCGGGUGUGUAAGCGCAGCGAUGCGUUGAGCUAACCGGUACUAAUGAACCGUGAGGCUUAACCU